rnacentral:rRNA from 1 species
UACGGGGGGGGCAAGCGUUGUUCGGAAUUACUGGGCGUAAAGGGCUCGUAGGCGGCCAACUAAGUCGGAUGUGAAAUCCCCAGGCUUAACCUGGGAACUGCAUCCGAUACUGGAUGGCUUGAAUCCGGGAGAGGGAUGCAGAAUUCCAGGUGUAGCGGUGAAAUGCGUAGAUAUCUGGAGGAACACCAGUGGCGAAAGCGCGUGACUGGGCCACAACUGACGCUGAGGAACGAAAGCCAGGGGAGCAAACGGG